UUUAUGUAUACUGGCUCAUCCCUAGGUGCUCAGCCAAUGGCCGCUGUAGACGGGUGAGAUGGAUAAGGCAGGGUUACUUUACCAGUUUGGCAGGUGUAGACAGAGAACCGGGGGCUUCGGAUUCGGGUGUGCAGCUUCCGGCCCCAUCUGAAACAGCCUUUGCUUUUGCUUCACACCGCAGGGUUCUGCUUUGUUUUGUUUUUGUUUAUAAGAAGCAGAUCCUUUUUACACAUGUAAGCUGAGAGUGAUCAGCUAUGCCGUGGGAUUACAGAGCAUGAUAUAAAACACUAUAAAUACCCAAUAUCCAGCACGGUAUAAACAGCGGAUAAACUGAGCUGCGUUUGUCGUUGCUGCGCAUGCGUCUUGUGUUUUGGGCAGGAUUACCCCCACAAAUUAGUGCAGCUGGAAGCGUGGUCGUCAGUGGAACUCUUGGAAGUAUGUUCAAGUCUAACGUUCAGGCCUCUGCUUUUCAGGGGAGCGAACUUAGUGAAAUCAGCUCAGCUGCACUGGGGCGGCGGGCAAGUAGUUAGAAAUACCAGCCUUUGGUUAAUCUCUUUUCUGAUCUUCGUUUACAACCGUUGUGCUUAAAAACAAUACCGUGGUUUACUUAUUCUCCUUACACCUUAACUAGUGAGGAAAGAUGAGGUCCUCCGAGGUGUCCAGGUGCGGACCAUUGAUCUUGCAUGUUUGAUUUCCGUAGACAUCAGUAUGUCCCUGCCUACCCAGGAGAUCCAACAAUGUGGUGGGUGGGGCCCCAGUUGCUCACAUUAUCCUGUUAGCAAGCAGUUUAUAUCAAUAAUCUGCUACCAGCUAGUAAAUCAAAAUCACACCAUGGGGCUGGAGAGAUGGCUCAGUGGUGAAGAGCACUGACUGCUUGCUUUGCCAGAGGUCCUGAGUUCAGUUCCUAGCAACCCACAUGGUGGCUCACAACCAUCUGUAAUGGAAUCCGAUGCAAUCUUCUAGGGUGUGUCUGAAGACAGCUGCAGUGUACUCAUAUAAAUAGAAAUAAAUAAAUAAAUCUUUUAAAAAAUCACACCAUGACUGUAAAAAUGUUUGUAUUCAUGGUAGAUAAUGAGCCAUUUGAAGAAAAAGUGACUUGUCUUCCCUUUAAGAGUAACGAGGAGCCUGGCACCAGGUGUGGUGGUGCAGGGAGCCUUAAUUCCAGCACUCCAGAGGCAGCAGGAGCAGGUGAAUCUCCGAGUUUGAGGCCAGCAUGGUCUACAGAGCUAGUUCCAGCCAGGACAGUCAGGGCUACACAGAGAAAACCUGACUCAAAACCAAACCAAACCAACAAAAAAGUGAGAAAGGAAAUAGCCCUAAGGAGUUAAUUUUUUUUCUAUGAGAUUUAAAUAUAACCUUUAAAGAUUUAUUUUAUGUAUGUGAGUGUUUUGCUCACUUAGAUCUGCACCAUAUGCAUGCCUCGUGCACAAAGUGGUCAUAAGAAGCCAUUGGAUUCGCUGUAAUUAGACUUCUGGACUGUGGGUCCUGGGAAUCGAACCUAGGUCCUCUGCAAGAACAAGUCUUAACCGCCGAACCAUCUCUCUAAUCCCAUUAGAUUCUAAAAUUAUUUUCCUGCAAUAUGAUUUCACCAAGGAAAAUGAAUUAAAAGAAUAACGCCAGUGGGAAAUAAAGUAGUUUUCCUGCAAACCUGCAUGCAGCAUGCAGGUGGGUCUGUGCUGUCCUGAAGCCAGUGCAUGCCAGGCAAGCACUCUAACCACUGAGCCACACCUCCAGCUGAACACAAUAUAAAAGCAGGAUUCAUUUGUGGGUAAGAAACUCACUUAUAUACAUUCCCCUUUAGGUUAUACUGUAUCUUUUUCAAUUUAAGAAUGUAUGACCAGUCUUUUCUGGUCUAGUCAACCUUAUAUUGGCAUAAAAAUCACAUUAUUUUGAUGUGGCAUAAUCUGGGUUCUCAUUACGGGGAGGAGGAAUGUUUCCUCAUUUAAAAGAAGCCAGUCGGGCUGGAGAAGUGGCUCAGUGUUGGGAGCACUGGCUGCUCUUCCAAAGGUCCUGAGUUCAAAUCCCAGCAACCACAUGGUGGCUCACAACCAUCCAUAAUGAGAUCUAAUGCCCUCCUUCUGGGGUGCCUGAAGACAGCUUCAGUGUACUUACAUAUAAAAUAAAUAAAAAUUAAAAAAACAAAAAAGAAGAAGAAGCCAGUCUGGGAUUUAAAAACAAAACAAAAC
rnacentral:lncRNA from 1 species